rnacentral:lncRNA from 1 species
UUCGUACUUCUGCAGAACAGGGGACAUUAAAAAGGCAGCGGAUAUCGUUCAGACAAUGACCACAAACGGGUGCGAACCGGACGUUGUGACAUACGGUACCUUAAUUCAGGGUCUCUGUAAAGCUGGAAGGACCGAAAUAGCCUCGAGGCUUUUGAGGAGUAUACAGAUGAAGGGAAUGGUUUUGACUCCACGCGCUUACAACCCCGUUUUGCAGGCACUGUUUAAGAGGAAGAGAAUUAAAGAAGCGAUGAGGCUAUUUCGUGAGAUGGAGGAGAAGAGCGAAGCUCCCGAUGCGGUGUCGUACAAGAUUGCCUUUCGUGGGCUUUGCUGCGGCGGAGGCCCGAUUGCGGAGGCGGUUGAUUUCGCCGUUGAAAUGACGGAGAGAGGGUAUAUUCCGGAAACUUCUACUUUUUAUAUGCUGGCUGAAGGGCUUUGUGCUUUGGACAUGGAGGAAACUCUGGUGAGUCUUGUGGAGAAGGUGAUGGUGAAAGCUAGGUUUUCGGAUAACGAGGCUGCUAUGGUGAUGGGGUUUUUGAGAAUACGUAAGUUUGAGGAUGGGUUGGCUAGUUUCGGCAGGGUUUUGAACAGCCAAAAUCCUCAAAAGGGUUACUGGUGAUUCCGAAAGUUUGUUUGGGGUUAUGUAGCGUGUAGAUUAUCCGUACUCGGUAGUUUCUUGAAUUUUGAAGUUUUUUUAGAGUUUUGAAUCUUGAUUUUAUGGGGGAGGGCAAAGCACGAAAAAACCGAUGGAAUGGAGACUCGGUUUCUUGAAUGAUCUUUCCCGUGUGAUCGUUCGUUGGGAUUGGUCUGGAAAAAUCUGAAAUUUGCUUUUUUCUCAUAUGCUCUGUUAUUUUGCUUUAAGUUUGAUGAGUUAUCUUCUAGAGUACAACUUUGAAGUUGCGUAGCUCGGAAUUCGUGUUUGAUGCAAAUUUUCAACUGCUGCCGAAGCUUGUAAUAGCGAGUUGUAUGAACUGUCUUUCCACUGCGUUACUUAGAGCCUGGUUUCUUUGUUAGAAAUUAAUCUUGUACUUUGCACUUUACUCUCAAUGUAGUGUGUGUAUGAGUGUAAUGUGUAAUGUGUUCCAGUACGAACGAACUUUGAUCGAGCCGGAUUCGAAAUCGGGCUCGAGUGUCUUGAUUGUGUUACAUAUUUUAUCUUAGGGUGCAUUUGGAUGGAGGGAUUUGGGGAAGGGAUUUCAAAUCCAUAAUAACAAAUCCCUCGGACUUGUUUGGAUUGAGGGAUUUGGAGAUGGAUUUCAAAUCCCCACCCCUCCUUUUUUGUUGAUUUUGGAGCAACAGUGAUGGAUUUCAAAUGAAUCCAAAAUUGGAGUCAUUUCAAAUCCAUUCCCCAAAUCAAAUUCCUCCCAAAAUCCCUCCAUCCAAAUGGACCCUUAUUGUCUCCUCUAAUAAUCAAGUUCGAGCCGAACUUCUAAACUUAUGAAAUGACAAUUUAUGUCCACUUAGUAAAUAAUUACCUCACGAGUAUUUAUAGAUGCCAUAGCAAAAUUUACCUAUUGGGUUUUUUUUUUGUUUUUUUUUUUUCUUGAAAGAAAAUGUUUAUGGUUAAAAAUUAAAAUAUAAUGAUUACAACUUAUAUAUGUAUCUUAACAACAUUAAAAUUCAAUUGUAUUGUCAUUUAUCACUACAGAGUCACAGACAACAAGUUAGCGAAAAUAAAUUAAAUAAAUUCAUUUAUCUAAUUAAUCUGAGUUAUAUGAUUGCAAAUCAAGACAAGAAGGUAGAAACAAAAAUAAAUAAAAUAUAUAUUUUACGUUAAAAAAAAUAUAUUAUUUUAAUUUAUUUUAUUAAAUAAUACUCUCGUCUCUCUCUCUUGAUAUUUUUCUAAAGCCGUCUAAAUAUGUCUUAUAUACAGAUUCAGAAUCUUCGGUAUCAUCAUCAAUAAAACUCAGUAACAAACUUUUCCUCGUGUCACCUUCUCACUUCAAUCGCGCCGGCUAAUCCAUUUUUAUACCUCUUUGAUUUAUAAAUAAUAUUUUGUUUGUGUGUGUAUAUGUGUGUAUAUAUGUGUGUGUUAGUUUGUGAAUGAUCGGAGUGAAAUCAGUGCUCUUCUUCUCCAAUGGCUACCGACGAAGAAACGCCACUUGUUGUUGAAGAAAUUCCGUCACAGCUCAACCACAAAAAAGACGUUCACAUCUUGUGCUGGGCUUUCCUCCUCAUUUUCUUAGCAUACGGCGCCGUUCAGAAUUUGGAAAGCACAAUCAACACUGUAAUUUUUUAAUAUUUUUUUUUUCAAUUAAGAAUUCGGUUCAGCAUGAAUUUUGAAUAUCUGAUUAAAAAUGUUCUGUUCUCCCCUAAUUUAAUUUUCGCGAUUUUAGGAAGGAGAUUUGGGCACGAUUUCACUGGGGAUAUUGUAUGUAUCGUUUGCAAUAUUUUCACUGGUUGCUUCAUUGGUGGUGAAGAAGCUAGGUUCAAAAAAUGCCUUGGUUCUGGGUACAACUGGAUAUUUCCUCUUUACAGCAGCAAAUUUGAAGCCCUCUUGGUAUAUCUUCUUUGUAUCUUUGGUUUUGUAAUUCAACAAUCAUUUGGUUGACUUUUGUCUAUUUGUUUGGUUUGUGAAAUUGCAUAUAUGAACCUAAAUCGAUUUAUCCGUGAUUCGUAAUUACUUAAAUCCUACGAGAAUUACGAGUCUAUGUUGUGUUCAUGAGUUGAAUUUCAUCAACCAUGUGUAGAACUUCCUACUAUUGUCUUCAAUUGUUUCGUAUUUUCAGCGAUUUCCACGACAAAUAAUUUACCUUAAUUUUUGUUCUUCGUGGUUUAAUGAUGUGUUUCUAAUUCGCUUUUGAAGGUAUACUAUGGUGCCAGCUUCCGUAUACCUAGGAUUUGCAGCUUCAAUAAUAUGGGUUGCACAGGUUUAACACAUUUCUCACUCUUUCAAUGGUUUAGGUUCUGAUUUUAAUCGGCUGUAUUUUUUCACUAACCUUCACCGUUUUUUGUCAGGGUACAUAUCUCACUUCGGCUGCUCAUAGUCAUGCAUAUGAUUACAAAUUGCAUGAAGGAACGGUUAUUGGGAAAUUCAACGGAGAGUUUUGGGGGAUGUUUGCAAGUCAUCAGGUGCUUUAUUUACAUUUCUGUUUAAAAAAAAUUAGCUCUUAGUUCUUGAUAUUUGUAAAUAACCGUAACAUUGUUCCUCUACUGUAAAUCUGCAGCUUGUUGGCAAUCUUAUCACUCUUGCUAUGCUAAGAGAUGAAGAGGUAUGAAUUCACAUUAGUUUAAAGCUUCCCCGUAUAUUUCAUCCACACUUACUGUACUGGGGAAGAAAAGAUUUGUUACGACUAUUGUUAUAUAGGUUACCCUCUAAGGAAAGGAAUCAUAUAAGUAAUUAUAUUCUAUUUUGCCUUAUAUUUUACGAGUUAUUUGGCGAGGCAUUUUUCGUUGACAUGAGUAUCAAGAAACUUUCAUGUUGAGCAAAUAAAAUAUUCCGAUGAGUUUGCUAGAUUUUGUAUAUAACCAUGAUCGUAUAUUAGCAGGAUAAACUAUUAAUUGUAUUUUAUAUGGCUAUAUAAAAUUGCAGGGGGGAAGAACUAGUGGCACGACUUUACUUCUCAUUGUGUUUCUCUGUAGCAUGACUGUAGGUAUAGUUCUUAUGUGCUUCUUGAGUAAGAGAAACGGUAAAGAAGAUGCUCUGCAAGAUUCCCCUGUCACUUUUUCAUCUUCAGUGGGGUCCUUGUUAAACUCGAUGUCGAAUUUAUUGCUCGACAUACGAAUCCUUUUGGUCAUCCCACUCAUUGCAUAUUCGGGUUUACAGCAAGCAUUUGUGUGGUAAAUAAACCAGAAUAAUUAUUAUUUAAUCCAAAGUCACACUUUAUAAAUCUCUUAAGUCUUGAUAUUUAUGUUAGUUUAAAUGUUUCCAUUUCAGGGCUGAAUAUACUAAAGAAAUUGUGAAGCCUACACUUGGAGAACGUGGUGUUGGUGGUGCAAUGGCUGUUUACGGAGUUUUUGACGCUAUUGUAAGUGGCCAAUCAGAAAUAACCUCUACUGAUUAAAUUAUGAUAAAUAAAUAAAAAUCUUUAAAUUAUUUCAUGGAUUAAUAAUAAAUUACAUUUAUGAUUUAAUAUGAAAUAAUGAUUGUGAUUUUAAAAAAUUCAUUUUUCCAUUACAUAAUGUAGAUGUUAGAAUCAUCUUUAGUUGCUACUAAAUAAAUUAAUUUAUUUAUUUUGUGAUAUUAUUUGAACGUUUUGUCAGAGUUCACUUAUUGCUGGUCGGCUUACUUCGGGUAUAUCAUCAAUCACGAUAAUAGUCUCGGGUGGAGCUUUAAUCCAGCUCAUCGUGCUCCUUUGGCUUCUGCUUGGCUACAGGUUUUUACUCGCAUCAAAUUUCCAUAAUUUCGAGGAUUAUGAAUUUCAGAGAGAUACAUAUAUUUUGCGAUGAAUUUCAAAUAUAUAUAUAUAUAUAUAUAUAUAUAUAUAUAUAUAUAUAUAUAUAUAUAUAUAUAUAUAUAUAAUGUGUGUUUGAUUUGAUACUUUUGUGUUUUAUUUUGUAGCGUGAGUGGUGGAAUUCUCGGUACAUUGCUCCCACUUCUCAUAGGGGCCUUGUGGGGUAUUGGCGAUGGAGUUCUCAACACGCAGCUCUGUGCAUUGCUUGGACUUCUGUUUAAACACGAUCUGGUACUAAGUUUCUCUAUCUUCUGUUAAUCACUUUGAUUCUUGAAACAUCUCUAGAAAAUCGACUUGUAUGUUUGAUGCACUACUUGCAGACCGUUGUAAAAUUAUAUUUUUUUAAUCGCUAUCGUAAUUUGACUUCAUGGGUUUUCACUAUAAUCUCCUCUUAAAAAGAAUGGUGCAACUUGACUAAAAAAAGUCGAAAUAGAUUUCAAAUUCACCACAAUAACUCAAAAAUUAGUCCGAGAAUCAAGUAUUAGGGAUUUGAAAUUCCAUUUUUGGAUCCUAUCCAUCCAAACAACUUCAAUGAAUUUGAAAUCCUUGUGGUUCGAGCUAGUACAAUUUUGUGUGUUCGUAAUCGGAUGCUUGAAAGUUUAAAUAUGAUAUUAUAUAACUUUUGUUAUUGUUUUGCAGGAAGGAGCAUUUGCACAGCUUAAGCUAUGGCAAAGUGUGUCAAUAGCAGUUGUAUUUUUCAUCAGUACUUCUAUAUCGUUGCAAACGAUGGUUGUGACCAUGCUCGUGGCUCUCUGCAUCUCGUUGGCUGCGUUUCUUUUUCUCACACUCAAGGUGGAGAAAGCGUUUUCUUACCGCUCUGCUUGAGUUUCACAAGGUCAAUUUCUUUUACAAUAUUCUUUCUAAAUUUGUGCUUGUAGGAAUAUUCCGGUGUGGUGUUAAUUCCCCUAAAUAUUUGUAAAUCAUGCAUACCUUGUUUGUUUGUGCGUGCAUGUUCUCUAUUGUACAUAAUUCGAUCAUUGUGUUUGUUUGUUUGUGCGUGCAUGUCCUCCAUUGUACAUAAUUCGAUCAUUGUGUUUUUUCUCAAAUUCGGGAAUAGAACCCGCGACCUAACACUACACUUCCGUCACCCUGACACCACUCGGGCAAUGCCCUUUCAGUAAAUUGAUCGUUGUAUUUGGAACAGAUGAAGUUCGACUUGUUUCUUCGUAAUCGGGAAAUUACAGUUUAUGUCCCUCAAGUUUGCACUAAUUUCAUAUAUGGUCCCUAAUGUUCACAAAUAACACAUUUGGUCCCUUAUGUUUCAACAAUGUAAUACUUUUGUUCAUUUCCGUGAAUUUACCGUUAGUUUGUCAGUUAAGACUUAAAACAGUGAUCAGCACAUGCUUGAUUCCAUUAGAUACUAACGGAGCUGACCACAAACGGGUGCGAACCGGACGUUGUGACAUACGGUACCUUAAUUCAGGGUCUCUGUAAAGCUGGAAGGACCGAAAUAGCCUCGAGGCUUUUGAGGAGUAUACAGAUGAAGGGAAUGGUUUUGACUCCACGCGCUUACAACCCCGUUUUGCAGGCACUGUUUAAGAGGAAGAGAAUUAAAGAAGCGAUGAGGCUAUUUCGUGAGAUGGAGGAGAAGAGCAA